rnacentral:rRNA from 1 species
UACGGAGGAUGCGAGCGUUAUCCGGGUUUAUUGGGUUUAAAGGGUGCGUAGGCGGGCUUUUAAGUCAGCGGUAAAAAUUCGGGGCUCAACCCCGUCCGGCCGUUGAAACUGGGGGCCUUGAGUGGGCGAGAAGAAGGCGGAAUGCGUGGUGUAGCGGUGAAAUGCAUAGAUAUCACGCAGAACCCCGAUUGCGAAGGCAGCCUUCCGGCGCCCUACUGACGCUGAGGCACGAAAGUGCGGGGAUCGAACAGG